UGUAGUGAAAUUAAAAAGGAACAACUGGGCUUAAGCAGAAACGGGUCGUGGGCGGGUCGGUUAGACCCGCCCGGUUCGAGGUUAUAUAAAUAGGGUGUAAGACCCAUUUCUUUCACUUUCUUCAUUCAUUUCUCUCUCUUCACUUCUCUAAUCUCACGUCUCCCUCUUCUCUGUUCUUCUUUUCAUGAGUUUUCCGGCGCGGUGGCCGGUGGUGCACCACCGUGCCGGAGUUUUCAAAACCCUCCUUUUUCAAAAACAAUUACAUAUUAUUAUAUCCUUUUUCGCAUAGGUGAUAGAUCCGGACUUAGAUUUCAAAGAAAAGCAACAACACGUUCUAGAUCUACAUUCAAACAACACGAAAAUAAAAUACUACCUUUUUUUACCUCGGAUUCCGAUCUGCUUCUUCUCUAAUCUUUGAAUUCGCUUCUGUUCAUCAAACUCGGUUCUGAUACUUGUUGAAACGGAGCGAUUGAACCUUUGUUUAAAUCGGAUCCGUUACUCUUAUUGUUGUGGGUUCGGAUUCGAGUUUGUAAGUGACGGAUUCAAAAGAAAAGGUGAUGUUUAAGUGCGAAACUUGAUUUAUUUGAGGUGCUUAUGAACAGAUUCGGUUUGAAUAAAGUGUUGGUUGAAAUCGGUUUGGAUUUGAGUGUUUGAUUUUGAAAUUUUUUGAAAGAGAAAGAAAAUUAGGGUUUGAUGAUUGCGGCUACUGAUUGGUGAUUCUGUGGUUUCUCGGUUUGCGGCUGUGGAAAAUUGUCUGUCUUUUCUGUAUUUUGCAGGUUUGCUUUUAUAGCAUUAGGGUUGGAUUGAAUAAGGAAAUAACUUGCAGAAGUUACUACCGCGUUCCCAGAUUUGGAAACAAAAAAUUGACCCUGUGAAAUUGGCUGAACACGAGGCGUACGGAGGAGAAAUGAAAAAAGAAAAAAAAGGACCCUUGUUGGAAUUUUAGGACUUAUUAACUUUAUUGGACAAAAACUGGAAAAUAAACAUUUAUUAACUAUUAAAAAAAAAAGUAACUAACUUUAAAAUUAAAAAUAAA
rnacentral:lncRNA from 1 species